rnacentral:rRNA from 1 species
AUGCAAGCAGUAUCGGAAGAGCUUUUUGUCAAACUUUCUGUUACAUUAUGGGCCAUUUGGGCUGCUAGACGCAAGGCUAUCCAUGAGGGGAUCUUUCAGAGUCCACAUGCCAUACAAGGGUUUAUCGCAAGAUAUCUGACGAAGCUCGAACUAAUCAAGAAACCAGCGACAACGCAGACUGUAAGGCAGGCACGAACAAGCAACCAGUGCCCGAAGGCUCCUCCACAGGGGUACGCGAAGAUACAUGUUGACGCAGCAUGUCGGAUAGGAGCGGGAGGAGCCGCUGCAGCAGUUUGCAGAGAUGCUGUCGGAGUCUUUCUUGGGAGCUCAGCAUUAGUCGUUGGGGGAGUAGACGAUCCUGUCAUUUUGGAGACUAUUGCAUGCAGGGAAGCACUGGCUUUGGCGCAAGAUCUUAACCUCCAUGCGAUUAUAGUGGCGUCUGAUGCAAAAGAAGUUGUGGGAUCGAUCAAUGGGGCAUGUCGCGGACCCAAUGGAGCUAUUGUCCAGGAGAUAAACAACUUAGCUGCUCAUUUUAGUUGCUCUUUUACUUUUGAAAGUCGUGUCGUUAAUGUAGAAGCUCAUAAGUUAGCCAAGCAUUCUAUUUCGUUGGGGAGGGGUCGCCAUGUGUGGCUCGGACAACCCCACAACGAGAGAUGUAUUCCACAUACUGUGGUUUUCGAUGAAUAA